GCAGGCAAGGGCAGGCCGUGGCUUUGCAGCUAGCUGCCCCAGGGCAGACUCAGACGCGUAGCACCUGGCCAGCUACAGCAUGGCUAUUUUUGCAACUACAGCAACAAGCACUCAUCAACAGUCACAAGGAAUGGCUGUGAAUCUGCUGCAGCAAGAACGUGCGUCUUCAGAAAGCUCUACCCCACCUGUAAGAAGACACGAUCCCGGCUCUUUCCUCCACUGAGGCCACAGGUCAACGGAGCAGCAAGGGUCCAAAGUGAGAAAUGGGAAGCUCCUUCCAAGAAGACCGUUCCCUGAGCACCAGGGGCUGGACAGUCACAGAGAAGGAGAAGCCUGGAGCCCGUCAGCGCCACCACGCACAGCCAGGGGACAGGGCAGCAGAGUGAUCGGGAGCGGGUUUGAACCUAGGUUUGCACCCAGGCUCUCCAUUUACGGGUUGUGACACCCUGGGCACCAGUUUUUCCUUACCUGAGAUGGGCAUGGAAACAGUUUUAACCUCAUGGAGCCGGAGUAAUGAAACAUCUGAACACUAUGAAGAGUGCUUGGUCCAUGAUGCACAUUCACCCCAGACACCCUGAAAACCGGGCUGCUCCCUGCACCCCGAACAAGAACACGAGCCCUGCCGAUCACUGCAUCAUGCUUCUGAGCUGCGUGCACAGGGCGAGGCCGGGGACCGGGCUCUGCUGUGGGUCCACACACGCUGUGUCCCUGCACUGGACAAAGUCAGCCCUCGGGGCGCUGGCUGGGAUUCAGGGAAAGCUACGAACUAGGACCCUGGCUUCCCAGACAGGAGGAAACCAAGACUGACAGAGAGAAUGUGACUUGACUGAAGCCAGCCAGCUCUGUCGCUCUGUCUCCGCACUGAACAAAACUACUCAGAAAGAUGAGGAAUGCUUGUGCAGAAUGUCAGCAAGAGGAGAGAGGCAAGGCGCAGACGGUUCCUAUUUCCAAGAGCUGAUGACACGCUGCCCACCUGCACACCUCCCUGGGGACCCCAGACUGGCCCUGAACCCAGCCCCCAGGCUCAGCACCAGGAGGCUGAGACUCAUGGGAAAGACACUGUAGUAGAAAUAUGCUGCUUCUGCAAUAAACAGCGGGAUAGGAUUUCUGUAAGUGAAAGGGUAGAUACCCAAACUCAUCAGAUUCAAAGAAAUCCACAGUAUAUGUUUCCUAUCAUCUUAGGGGGAUG